rnacentral:rRNA from 1 species
CAGCCGCGGUAAUACAGAGGGAGCGAGCGUUAUUCGGAAUUAUUGGGCGUAAAGGGCGCGUAGGCGGCUAUUCAAGUGGCGGGUGAAAUCCCUCGGCUUAACCGGGGAACUGCCUGCCAGACUGGGUGGCUUGAGUCCGGGAGAGGUGAGAGGAAUUCCCAGUGUAGCGGUGAAAUGCGUAGAUAUUGGGAGGAACACCAGUGGCGAAGGCGGCUCACUGGACCGGAACUGACGCUGAGGCGCGAAAGCGUGGGGAGCAAAC